AGAGGAGGAGAUUGGGUGGUGGUGUGGGAGAGAGAUAAAGAAACUUAAACUAGCAGAAGAUCAGUUGGCCAAUCCAAAUGUAGUAGUAAAAUCACAUAAACUUUACUCUAAAAGUGGGUAGAAGUACCAAAAUAGAUAAACCUUAAUAAAUGAACAGAAGUUACAGUAAAUAGAUAACCAAACAAGGAGAAAAAGAAGUCCGGGGGAAAAUUAAAUACAUUUUUCGGCUAAAAUUCCGCAUUGAACGAUGGAAAGAAGCUCAAAUAAGAAAGCAACUUCAAGCAACAUUCAAGAUAAUAAAAAAAGACACAGAAUCAGAAUUUAGAAAAUCCAAAACAGACAUUAAUCUUCCAAACAAGCGCAAUACACAAGCAAACACAGUAAGCGCCUGAAAUUAUACCAAAUGCUUCAAAAUCCAAGCUGAUUAAAGCUCAGCAUUAUUACAUUAAAAAAUAACCCAAAAUAAAAAAAGAUACGCAGCUUAUAUCCACGUUUCGCCAUUUCUUCCACGAUACAGAGAGACCCAGAAAACCAAUUCGCUCCG
rnacentral:misc_RNA from 1 species